AUGGAAUUAAGAUCGGAAGAGGUUGCCAAGAGCAGGGGAAACCAGGUAGCAGGAGCAGGAAUUUUUGAGGUUUCAAGGGCAGGGGACGCCUUCCCAGGCCUCCAAAGGUGCAGGGAUGCCUGUUUCUGCAGCUGCAGCUAUAUGGGGCAGCUAGGGCUCUUCCCUGCUCUGUGUAGCCGGAGGCCCAGGUCUGCAUUCACGAAGUGGUUGCCUGCAGCCACACCCAGGAGGAUGGGGCUCCUGUCUGCUCCUGGGCCCCAAGAGCCCAGGGAAGCCAGGGUCCACAGCUAUGACCCGGGCAGCUGCAAAGGCACCUGGGGAGCUCCCAUCCCAACUCAGAAGAGGUGGGGUCACUUCAGAUGUGGCUGCCGCUGUCAUCAUUUAGAGUAAAAGAUUGUGAACUUAAAUGAUUUCAUAGCAUCCUGCUUCAAAAAUAUUUUCUCCAACAUUCUGAAGCAUGAUGGGCUCAAACAAGCUUCUGCUCCACAGAAUUUUUAAAUUGCUCUGAGACAAAUUCAAAAGAAAGCACAAAUAUACUAUCUGAGGAUCUUUAUAUUGCAAAUCAUUUGUGCUGAUUGUGCUUAUUAAAGUAAGAGUAUAAAAAUAUUUUAAAAUGUUAUUCUAAGAAUUAAUCUUUUACUCUGAGAAAUAUAAUCAGCCUACAAGGUCCAGAACAUUAAUGUGAAUUUUUAACCAAGAGUUCCUGGUACUUUCCUAUGUUCACUGAAUGGUGUGAACCUAUGUUCCUUUUCAUAUUUCUCAAUAGCAGAAGUCUGGAUAGGCUUGGUUUACAUAUAUUAAAAUCAACUAAUGGCAAUUUAUAGGGAAAACAUAUUCUCUCCCACUUAAAGGGUACUUUUUCUUAGGCAAAUAUACUAUUUCAGGAAUAGAAACCUUACAUCUUUCUUCUUUUCAGAUUGGGAUAGUUGAGAUUCCCACAAUGAGUAAUAUCUAUGAUUGGAUUUAAUUUAAAUAGUAUGACUCCAAGAAAUACUUUGAUAAUGCUUUGUCAUUUAUCAACUGUCUGCUUAUGUGACAGAUGCUGAUGUAAGUGAUAAGGAUGCAAAGUUAAACUCAAUGGUCACUAAACUCAUACUACAGAGGAAAAAGGCGUGUGACAAACACUAAGAGAAAAUGCACACUUCAGAUAUGAGGACAUGGGCCAGAGACUUCAGACAUCAACACUUUCAGUGGAAAAAGCACAUUAUCACUUCUAACUCAGGAAGCAGUCCUGGACAGCCAUCUCUAGAGAACAGAAUACAAGAUAGUCUGCAUAGAAUGUAAUCAAAGACUACCUAUUCUAAAGCUGAUGGGGAAAUAUCCCAGAGACUGAGACCGAAAUGAGUUUUUUAUAGCUUCAAAAUAUGUUAAAUAUAAUAUGGUCAUAAGUGCCACUUGUAUUAACAUUUGCCCCUAAUUUAUAGCUUCCUUAAUCAUCAAACCACAGAGUUAAUGCCCUGAUAUUUACUGAUCUCUAUGUAUUGACUUUUGAACACUCACCCUGGCUUGUCCUUUUUUUUUUUUCUGAGUCUCACUCUGUUGCCAGUCGCCAGGCUGGAGUGCAGUGGCACAAUCUCGGCUCACUGCAACCUCCACCUCCCAGGUUCAAGCAAUUCUCCUGCCUUAGCCUCCUGAGUAGCUGGGACUACAGGUGCACGCCACCACCCCCAGCUAAUUUUUGUAUUUUUUAGUAGAGACGGGGUUUCACCAUAUUGGCCAGGAUGGUCUCAAUCUCUUGACCUUGUGAUCCACCCGCCUCAGCCUCCCAAAGUGCUGGGAUUACAGGCUUGAGCCACCAUGCCCGGGCCCCUGGCUUGUUCUUUAAUUUUAUCCCUAACAAAUUUAUAUUGUUUGUAUUCCAGUACUUCAAUCUCUACCUCUAGGCUGAUACCAGCUUCAUUGAUUGUUCAUCUGAUGGUCCUGUGCAUUUUCUUACAAAUUCUGUAGUCUAUGGAUGUGAUAUUUUUGGACUUUUGGAUUAUGUUACCACCUCUAGAUAUCUAUAUCAUGUGAAUAAUCAAACAUCACAAGAAAUCCAGUGAUAAGAACUGCUGUGGCAGAUGCUGGUCCUUGUUCUAAUGGCUUUGUAUUACAUAAUCUCUUUAAUUUUGUGCUGUUUUCUUUUUACAGUGAACAUUUCCUUCUUAUCCUUAAAUCUGAAAAAUGCUGAUACAAUCCUCUGAGGACUUUUCUAGAGGAGGAAUGUGAGAACUAAUCUGCAGGUUAGAAGUGUGCACUUUCUGUUCAGUGCUUGUUGCAUACCCAUUGCCUCAGAUAUUAUUGCCUUUUAUAUUAGAACAGGGAAAAUAAGCACUCAGAUAUUUGCUGAAUAAUGAGAGUCAUAAAACCAGUUUUUAAAAACAUAUACUAUUGAAAUUAAAUAAAAUCCUAAAUAUAAACUAGUUCUAGUUCUAAC
rnacentral:lncRNA from 1 species